rnacentral:rRNA from 1 species
UACGUAGGCAGCAAGCGUUGUUCGGAAUUACUGGGCGUAAAGAGUGUGUAGGCGGUUCGCUAAGUUUGGUGUGAAAUCUCCCGGCUUAACUGGGAGGGUGCGCCGAAAACUGGCGGGCUUGAGUAUGGGAGAGGAAAGCGGAAUUCCUGGUGUAGCGGUGAAAUGCGUAGAUAUCAGGAGGAACAUCUGUGGUGUAGACGGCUUUCUGGACCAUUACUGACGCUGAGACACGAAAGCGUGGGUAGCAGACAGG